UAGUAACGGCGAGUGAAGCGGGAUGAGCUCAAGCUUAAAAUCUCCGUGCAAAUUUUGCAUGGCGAAUUGUAGUCUAUAGAGGCGUGAUUAGCGUAGGCACUUGGGGCAAGUUCCUUGGAAGAGGACAGCAUCGAGGGUGAUACUCCCGUUUAUCUCCGAGUUGCUUAUGCGUACAAUCCGUUUUCUUUGAGUCGCGUUGUUUGAGAAUGCAGCGCAAAGUAGGUGGUAAAUUCCAUCUAAAGCUAAAUAUUGGUGCGAGACCGAUAGCAAACAAGUACCGUGAGGGAAAGAUGAAAAGAACUUUGAAAAGAGAGUUAAAGAGUACCUGAAACUGCUGAAAGGGAACCAAAUCGCUUCCAGUGUCUAUAAUCUGUGGUAUAUUUCAUUGGCGAAUGUGUGCGUGUGUGUACUAUGGCAGCGGCUUUUUGCUGCGCCUUGUGUGUGUGUGCACUUUCUUGCUGAUGCCCUGUACCGUAGUGGGACGUCAAUGUCGGUUCGUAAAUUGCGGGAAAUGACUGCCGAGGAGGUAGGGCGAACGCUUGCGUUUGUCUGUUAUAUCUUGGCGGACGUAGUAGUCGCGGUUGGGACUGAGGUGCCUACAAUGUGCUUAUGAGUAGAAUUGAUUCUCCGUGUGCGCCGUGUGCGGAUAGCUUGCUAUGCGUGUGUGGCUGCGUGUGGAU
rnacentral:rRNA from 1 species